CUUUACUGUAGCUUGGUAUUGGGUUCGGGCUUUAAUUGCGCAGGAUAGGUGGGAGACUAUGAAGUAGCCCUUGUGGGGGUAUUGGAGCCACUGGUGAGAUACCACUCUAGUGAGGCUAGAAUUCUAACUGAAAGCCGUUAUCCGGCUUUGGGACAGUUUCAGGCGGGCAGUUUGACUGGGGCGGUCGCCUCCUAAAGUGUAACGGAGGCGCACAAAGGUUUCCUCAGGCUGGUUGGAAAUCAGCCGAAGAGUGCAAAGGCAUAAGGAAGCUUGACUGUGAGAGUGACAACACGAGCAGGGUGGAAACACGGUCUUAGUGAUCCGACGGCUAUGAGUGGAAGUGCCGUCGCUCAACGGAUAAAAGUUA
rnacentral:rRNA from 1 species